AAUUUUGGCCAGCACAGAAGAGAGCGUUCCUUGUUUGAAACUAUUUCAUCACCAUUUUCUGCUUCCAUGAUUAAAUGUUUCAAAGAGUUGCUUUCCAUUACCUUGAGUUCUUCCAGAUGCACCAAAGCUUGAGCAAGGGUAGGUGAAAAGAGAUAUUCCAAUUUAGAACACAAACCAAUUCUCAUAGUUUUAAGGCUCUGGAGGUUAACAAGACGAGUGGGUUCUCUCCAUAUGCACUUCAAUUCUGGUAAAGACUCCAACUCCAAACAAAUUAAAUUUGAGAGUGGCGGUGCCUGAUUUUCCUGGCAUAAAAAAUUUAUUAAUUAAUAAUUAUUUAAAUCUGAAUUAAUUGUACUUGUUCAGAAAAGUAUUUAAAUAUUAACGACAUAUAUUUUUAAAAAAUUUAAAAGAAAGUGUAAAAAGCCAUAAUUUACGAAGAUUAGAACACAUGAUUACUUAUAUAUUUGAUAAUUUAACAAAAAGAAAACAUAAUUAGAUAAAGAACAGAUGCUAGAAUUAUUAAAGGAAAAAUGGAGAGAUAAGAGGUACCUCCAGCUCAGCCAUAUCUUGGGCAGAAGCAAAGACUUGCUCUAAUUUCUUGCAUGCAGAUAUCUUGAGUUGUUCAAGAUGCAACAAACUUUGAGCAAGGUAAGUUGAGAAGAUAGAUUUCAGUUUAUCACAACCAUCAACUUUUACAUCUUUCAGACUUUGUAGGCUCACAUAAUGAGUUGGCUCUUUCCAUAUACUCUCCAAUGCCGGUAAUGACUGCAGCUCCAAGCUUCUUAAAUUUAAGAUUGACAGCAUCUGACCAUUCAUUUGAAACACUGAUUGCAGCUGUCCACAAUCGCAAAUGAUCAAUGUUUCUAAGUUUUGUAAGAAGCUAUUCGGUGAUUCACCAUGGCAUAACUCUUUCAAAGAAGUCAUUUUACCAAUGUCUAAGUUCACCAAAUUAGAGAAUGCAGUGGUUGGACUCUGUUCUCGUGUUGUAUCAAUCAAGCAUUCCAGAUCGUCACAAUAUGCAACCUCAAGAGAAGUCAAUUCAUUUAGUCCCCACUGAUCGUCACAAAAGCUCCUCAAGUUUUCUAAGUCUUCAAGUCUUAAAAACUGUAAUUUAGGUAGCAUAAUAUCGUGCUUAUCCUCUUCUUUUGCCAUGUUGAAGACAUGCAUUAGUUGAGGGCAAUCAAUUAUCUGAACUGAUUCCAAGUACGGAAGUCCAUGAGCCAAAGUGAUGGGAAACACAUAUCUCAAACUUUUGCAACGAACUAUCUCAAGAGAUUUUAAUUUUGGCCAGCACAGAAGAGAGCGAUCCUUGUUUGAAACUAUUUCAUCACCAUUUUCUGCUUUGAUGAUUAAAUGCUCCAAACAGUUGCUUUCCUUUAUCUUGAGUUCUUCCAGAUGCACCAAAGCUUGAGCAAGGGUAGGUGAAAAGAGAUACUCCAGUUUAGAACACGAGCAAAUUCUCAUAGUUUUAAGAUUUUGGAGGUUAACAAGAUGAGUGGGUUCUCUCCAUAUGCACCUCAAUUCUGGUAAGGACUCCAGCUCCAAACAAAAUAAAUUUGAGAGUGGUGGUGCCUGAUUUUCCUCAUAUAAAAAAAUAUUAUAAAUUAAUAAUUAUUUAAAUAUGAAUUCAUUGUACUUGUUCAAAGAAGUACUUAAAUAUUAGAGACAUACAUUUUUAAAAAAAUUAAAAGGAAGUGUAAAAAGCCAUAAUUUACAAAGAUUACAACUGAUGAUUACUUAUUUAUUUGAUAAUUUAACAAAAAAAAAACAUAAUUAGAUAAAGAACAAAUAAAAGAAUUAUUAAAGGAAAGAUGGAGAGAUAAGAGGUACCGCGAACUCGGCCAUAUCUUGGGCAAAAGCAAAUACUUGCUCUAAUUUCUUGCAUGCAGAUAUCUUGAGUUGUUCUAAAUGCAACAAACUUUGAGUAAGGCAAGGUGAGAAGAUAGAUUUCAGCUUAUCACAACCAUCAACUUUUACAUCCUUCAGACUUUGUAGGCUUAUAAGAUGAGUUGGCUCUUUCCAUAUAUUCUCCAAUGCUGGUAAUGAGUUUAGCUCCAUAAGUGUUAAAUUUGACAACAGCAAUCCUUGAUUUUCUUUCGUAUCAUGAAGAAACUCAUCUAUUUGAAAUACUUCUUGCAACUGGCCACAAUUAAUAACUUUCACUUCUUUUAGAUUUUGCAGCGCAGGAGAUAAAGAGACCAUUUCCAUGCAAUUCCUUGUUGUCAACUUCUCUAGUUUUUGUAGAAAGCCCUUUGGAAACUGACCGUUGCACAACAUUUUCAAACCAGUCAUUUCUUCUAUUACUAAUUCCACCAAAUUGAAGAAUGCAUUAGUUGAGACAUGGCCUAGGGUUGUAUCAAUCAAGCAUUCGAGCUCCUUGCCACCUUUAAGUGCAAGAAAAUUUAAGUCAAUAAGUCCCUUUGGAUCUACAUUUGGAACGAGACUUUUUUGAUACAUGACUCUAUUCAAGGUAAGAUUUUUGACAUUGUGUAAUAACUCCUUCAAUGCUUGCAAUUGAACGUCCUGAUAAAUUCACAACAAAAUGAAAGAUAUUAGAAAAAUAGAAAGGUAGAUAAUACUCCUUAAAUCAGAAUUGAAUUUUUUUCUAUGCAUCAAAUUUAAAAAUUGAGGCAAAAGAAAACUGUUUUAUCUUUUCAUUGAAAGCUCAUUAAAGUUGAAAAACAUACCAAAGCUUGGAAUAUUCUUAUCUGUAGAUAUUGAUUUACUAAAAGAAAGAUGUUUUUCUAUGAUCAGAUAAAUAAUCAAUUAAUAAUUAUCAAAAGUAAAAUUGAAACAAACGAAAAUAUAACAGAACUACCUUCAAUAGAGACCACGAGCAAAGACUUUCGUGAAUAUGGAAAUGAGCCAUUGAUUCGGGUGGGAGACCAAUAUUGCAAGCUUGGAAUUCCUUCAAAGAUGGCAACAUGACAAAAUAGUUUCUUGGACAAAAGCUCCUCAAGUUUUGUAAGUAUUCAAGUCUUAAAAACUGUAACCGAGGGAGCAGAAUAUCGUGCCCAUCCUCUUCUUUUGCCAUGUUGAAGACAUGCAUUAGUUGAGGGCAAUCAAUUAUCUGAACUGAUUCCAAGUGACGGAAGUCCAUGAGCCAAAGUGAUGGGAAACACAUAUCUCAAACUUUUGCAACUAGCUAUCUCAAAAGAUUUUAAUUUUGGCCAGCACAGGAGAGAGCGAUCCUUGUUUGAAACUAUUUCAUCACCAUUUUCUGCUUCCAUGAUUAAAUGUUUCAAGGAGUUGCUUUCCUUUAUCUCGAGUUCUUCCAGAUGCACCAAAGCUUGAGCAAGGGUAGGUGAAAAGAGAUAUUCCAAUUUAGAACAUGAACCAAUUCUCAUAGUUUUAAGGCUCUUGAGCUUAACAAGAUGGGUGGGUUCUCUCCAAAUGCAGCUCAAUUCUGGUAAAGACUCCAACUCCAAACAAAUUAAAUU
rnacentral:lncRNA from 1 species